GUCUCCUGCAGGCUGGGCUGACUCUGCUCUGACAUGGCAACACAGAGAUUGUUCCUCAUGCUUAAAAAGCUGGUGAAGCAUCAGUUUAGCUGGAGGGAAAUGCUGAUGCAAAGGAUACUCCAGGAGAAAAAUGAUGGGUGGAAAAAGUAAUUUGUCUUGUUCUUCCAUCCUAAUAGUUUGAAAGGGAGGAAAAAAGGCAAAGCCAAUGCCACCCCCUCAUCACCUGAAAAGUCUCCAAAAGAGCAGCCAAAAGAACAAAACAGAAGUAAAAAUGUAAGAGAAGAAGGAAAGACCUACUCAAUGGAAGACAUUCCUUGAGCUACACCUUUAAGUUUCUGAGGGGUUGAAAAGGAGCCAAAAUGCUGUUUCAGGUCAGUUCAUUCUUAUUUCAACAAAGACAGACUUCCAGCUCCAAGUAUGUCUGCUUAAAUUCAGUUCUCACAAAGGCUUUGCAUGGAGUGAUCACCAAAGCAGUCCCUCUAGCAUAAAAGUCUAAAAGCAGAUGAGAGAAACCCUGGAACUGUAGAAGCUGAUUGAAAAUUUAUCUUCCCUACUUGCUGUUGGAGUGGGACCCACAUGUGUAAGCAGUAAGUAUUUAAAUAU
rnacentral:lncRNA from 1 species